AUGAAACAAGAUGGUCUGAGGGCUGUACCAUGCAUCUUGAUUUGGGCUUAGCGAGGUAACUUCAGGGUUAGCUGUGGGUUUUCUGUACAAU